rnacentral:rRNA from 1 species
UACGAAGGGGGCUAGCGUUGUUCGGAAUUACUGGGCGUAAAGCGCACGUAGGCGGACUCUUAAGUCGGUGGUGAAAUCCUGGAGCUCAACUCCAGAACUGCCUUCGAUACUGGGAGUCUCGAGUCCGGGAGAGGUGAGUGGAACUGCGAGUGUAGAGGUGAAAUUCGUAGAUAUUCGCAAGAACACCAGUGGCGAAGGCGGCUCACUGGCCCGGUACUGACGCUGAGGUGCGAAAGCGUGGGGAGCAAACAGG